AAUGGGCUUCAUUAAGCUUGUCUCUAUGACUGUGAGAACAAGGGCAUCAUUUCUUCUAGGUGUCUGUCUUCCUCACCUCUGAAUACGAUGAUGGACGAAGGAUUUCGAAGGUUCCUCGCAACCACACAAUUCGGCUCUUCUCUCCAAUGGUUGAGGAAAAUGAUGAAGAAGUCUGUUAGCUUUGUGUGGGGGGACCGGAGAAGACAAGGGACUUGCCCAGGCUCCCAGCCCGAGUCCACAGCUGGGCUGGGCGAAAUUUAUCUGCUGCCCUGUGCCGCCUGCUCAGAAUCAAAUCAGAAUGCCACCAACGCCGGGAUUAUGUAAUUCCAGGCUCUCCUCGGCAAACAUGACCACCCACAUCACCGGCCAGAACGCACACAGCCCGUCGAAGCCGCCACCUGGUCCGAUUUAUCAUCAGGACUCCAUUUGAACGCCCCAGAAUAACACAAAAGAUGGGAACCAAAGCCAUUUACACGGAGAGAGUUCCGUGGAAGGCAAUGUUGUGACGGAGAGCACGCAGGGGUCUGAACCACGGCAUUCCUUACGUAACAUCUCGGGGGCGCACGCUAGGACAAUUUCCCAUUUGACUCUGGGUAGCACCCACAAGCACGUGGGCUUUCCUCUAAAGCAGACACGUCACGGGCUGUUCACUGCAAUGAUGGCACUGAGCCGAAUCGGGGGCUGCUUCUCCACCUUUCUCCUGACCCUCUCCCCUUUCUGGGCCCAGACUCCCCUUGCCAUUAAAAUAAGGAGAUGGUCCUGGGUGGCUUUUUAUUCCAGCUCUACCCUUUCAUGACUUUGCAAUUCUGCAUUUGAUUUACAGUCCAAGGAGGAAUUCGUUCUUUCCGUGAGGGAACGAAAACUGUGGCACUUGGAGAUUUGGUCAGGGGGGUUUGAAACCAGCCUCUUCCAAGAUAGUUAGGCAGUCUGAUUGUUUUAGAUCUCCAUUUGGGUAUCAGCCUUUUAUUUUCUGUUCUUCUUAAUCAAAUUCAUUCAUCAGUUUUUCUCAUCAGUUCAGCAAUCAUUUAUUUUCUAGAGAAAUUACAGAUGCAUUCCCUUAACCCCCCCAUAAUCCCCCUUCGAGGAAUUCAUCCCCAAUUCACACUGGCAACCCCUAUGAAACAGUGUGGCUCAGGUUAUUCCAACAGACUGGAAACAACCCAAAUGUUCAUUGAUAGAGGACUGGCUGUCCCAACUGCAGUCCAUGCACAUCAACAAGUGCUAUGUAGCUGUAAAAAAAAAAAAAAAAGAAAGAAAGAAAGAAAAAAUAGGGAAUAUCUUUAUAUAGUGACAAAACAGACAGCUCUGGGAAAAUUAAGGGGAAAAAAAGCAAAGUGCAGGACAGCAUAUGCAGUAGGCUCCCUUUUGCAUAAGAUAGAGGAAGAGGAAUAAAGACACACAUUUAUGUAUAUCUGGAAUGAGAAACACUGGAGGGAUAAUGAAAAAUGGCUAAAUACAGGAGAGGCAUGGAACAGAACAGAGGGAAGCUGUAUGGGGUCCAGAAAUUCUCUACUUGUUACAUCCUUUUUGACUGUGGAAUCAUCUAAAAGUUGUGUAGGGUUUAAAAAUAAAAUUGAUCAACACAAA